rnacentral:rRNA from 1 species
UACGUAGGGACCAAGCGUUGUUCGGAUUUACUGGGCGUAAAGGGCGCGUAGGCGGCGCGGUAAGUCACUUGUGGAAUCUCUGAGCUUAACUCAGAACGGCCAAGUGAUACUGCAGUGCUAGAGUGUGGAAGGGGCAAUCGGAAUUCUUGGUGUAGCGGUGAAAUGCGUAGAUAUCAAGAGGAACACCUGAGGUGAAGACGGGUUGCUGGGCCAACACUGACGCUGAUGCGCGAAAGCCAGGGGAGCAAACGGG